AAACUUAGGUUAAAUAAACCAGGGACCUUCAAAGCCCCAAACAAGAGUCACCACACCCUCCUAGUUUCU
rnacentral:tRNA from 1 species